AAAUAAGAAGCGCCUGGACAAAUGAGAAAUUUUACAAUUUGUUGACGAGGAUAGAGUUUAUCGAAAAAUUCGGCGGAUGCUCUAUGGCAAAGUUACUGUCGUUAGAUAUUUUUAAAAACUAGUAGCGAUAUUAGAACAAAGAGGAUAUUAG
rnacentral:ncRNA from 1 species